UACACACCGCCUGUCACACCAUGGGAGUUGGUCUUACCCUAAGACGGUGCGCUAACCGCAAGGAGGCAGCCGGCCACGGUAAGGUCAGCGACUGGGGUG
rnacentral:rRNA from 1 species